UCUCAGUUCAGAUUGCAGGCUGCAACUCGCCUGCAUGAAGUCGGAAUUGCUAGUAAUCGCAGAUCAGCAUGCUGCGGUGAAUACGUUCCCGGGCCUUGUACACACCGCCCGUCACACCAUGGGAGUCGGUAACACCCGAAGUCGGUAGCCUAACCGUAAGGAGGGCCGCCGCCGAAGGUGGGAUUGAUGACUGGGUGAAGUCGUAACAAGGUACC
rnacentral:rRNA from 1 species